UACGGAGGGUGCAAGCGUUAAUCGGAAUUACUGGGCGUAAAGCGUGCGCAGGCGGUUUGUUAAGUCCGCUGUGAAAUCCCCGAGCUCAACUUGGGAAUUGCAGUGGAUACUGGCAAGCUGGAGUAUGGUAGAGGAAGGUGGAAUUCCCGGUGUAGCAGUGAAAUGCGUAGAGAUCGGGAGGAACACCAGUGGCGAAGGCGGCCUUCUGGACCAAUACUGACGCUCAGGCACGAAAGCGUGGGGAGCAAACAGG
rnacentral:rRNA from 1 species